GACCUAUUAGCGAAAUUGGUAUCGCGUCCACACCCUUUGGAAGGUCCUCGUUCGAAUCGAGGUUAGGUCA